CAAAACAGGUCAGAUUGUCAGACUGAGAGCUGAUGUGAUACCAUCAAUUUUCAGCUUCCCAGUUCACCUUCAAAGAGUUGAAAACUACAGAACUACAAUAACCUCCACAAAAGCCCAAAGUAGUGAGUAUGUGGCCUCUCAAGAUGACCCAGAAACUUGUAGUUCAGACCUGCAACCUCAGUCUAAUGAUGAUCAUUGCUAUGCUUUGCCAGCUUCUCUUACCGCUGUCACUGCAAAACAUAAGAGAGCGUUGGCAAGAGUGGAAUAUCUGGAGCGGGACAAGAAAAACACCAUGGCCAGAGAGAAGAAGGCAAAGACCACAGCAAAGUCACUUUUGGGGGGAAUUGAGUGAAAAAAAAUCUCAUUACUGAAGAACUCAAAGAACGGCUUGAAUUCUACUCUGAUCUACAACUAGAGUUUAUGGAGAAAAAGGGCCAUGAAUACUCCAACGAAUAUAGAGAGUUUGCCCUC